rnacentral:rRNA from 1 species
AUUGAACGCUGGCGGCAUGCCUUACACAUGCAAGUCGAACGGCAGCACGGGUGCUUGCACCUGGUGGCGAGUGGCGAACGGGUGAGUAAUACAUCGGAACAUGUCCUGUAGUGGGGGAUAGCCCGGCGAAAGCCGGAUUAAUACCGCAUACGAUCCACGGAUGAAAGCGGGGGCCCUUCGGGCCUCGCGCUAUAGGGUUGGCCGAUGGCUGAUUAGCUAGUUGGUGGGGUAAAGGCCUACCAAGGCGACGAUCAGUAGCUGGUCUGAGAGGACGACCAGCCACACUGGGACUGAGACACGGCCCAGACUCCUACGGGAGGCAGCAGUGGGGAAUUUUGGACAAGGGGCGAAAGCCUGAUCCAGCAAUGCCGCGUGUGUGAAGAAGGCCUUCGGGUUGUAAAGCACUUUUGUCCGGAAAGAAAUCCUUGACUCUAAUACAGUCGGGGGAUGACGGUACCGGAAGAAUAAGCACCGGCUAACUACG